rnacentral:lncRNA from 1 species
CCAUGAAAAAGAUUGGAAUCAGGUUGAAUUUAUUACUAUGGGCGUCCUGGCCCAAGAUUCUGCAACUCAGUAUGCUAACAUGGGUAUCUCUUAUGAGUUAAAUGUUGCCUAGGCUGGCAAAUUCAAAUGCUGGUCUACUUCCCAGGACAUGGAAAGCCAGGCUCCAUAGUCUUAAUGAGGAAGGAAGAAUGAAACAGCACUUAGGAGACACGAACUCCUGGAGGCACCUCCCUGCCUCCCACUCACCUCCCACUGUCCCCUUGAGAAGGCCCCAGUUCCUUUGCUAUUAGCCUCACUUCGAGAAUGAGGUUGGUGUGGGGAGCAUACAUUUUUGAAAAAAAUCUUGUUUCAGGCUUCUCUUUCUUAACUGAGGAUGAAAGUGGGAGAUGCUGCAGCUGAGAUUCUUUCAGUCCGGCUGAGGGAUGCUGAGGUCAGCCCGUCCAGCCAAUCGGGAGGCAGCAGUCACCAGGGCCAAGAAGAGUGCAGUCAUCGUGGAUGUGGCCUUCAGAUCCUGGACCCUGGGAAUAACUAGAACCGAAAUGGGCAGGCAGCCAAACGAGGUCUGGGGAUCAUGCAAGGACCAGACAAAGACUGCUGAUGACCUCAAGGUUACUGAGGAACACAGGCAAGGUGACUGGUGACUGCGUUGGAGCCUCUGUCACUAGACAGGGAAGUUGUGAUAAGUUCUUCUCAUAUUAGAAGCUCUACUCUCUUUGUACUUGAACUCCUGAUCCUUUGACUUUUGCAUAAAAAGGUCUUUUUGUGUUGUGGUGGAGCAUAUGAUCUUGGAUGUUGCCGGUGGCUAAAGGGUCACUAUGAUGGCUACUACUAUAUGGGUGUCUGAAUCCACCUUUACAAUAUGCAGGAAUUUAGGUUUUAUUCUCUGGGUUUUUUUUUCCUUGUAUGUUAAUAAAAGGAAAAGUAUUGGUGAUAUUGAUCAAGGGGAUCUCAAGCCAAGCUACAACUUGAC